UAGGAGACUUGAAGCUGCCCCUGGGGUCUUGGGUGUGCAGUCUGGACCACAAGAGACCCCCCCGAGACUUCGGUCCAUCUAACCUGUAAGUCACAGACAUCUUGGACAGUUUCAGUCAUCUAUAAGGAGGUAUAUCAUUAAGAAACAGUGGGGUAUUUUGAAAGAGUUGGAAGACUUACCAUGAGUUUAAACACUUCAAAUAAUGCCACUGGUGAGACCCAAAGGUUGAAGAAUGCCUCACCAGAAGUAAAACAGAUGCUUAAAAAUGAAGCAGAUUUGGAUGUUACUGCUGAUCUCAGAAAGAAACUCCAUCGAGCUAAGAAAGAAAAAUUAGAAAUGACAACUAAGCACAAUGCAGAGCUGUUAAGCUGUGAGAGCCAGAUUGCCAAGCUCCGGUCCGAGGUCGAAAAAGGAGAAGCAUUGAGACAAAGUUUGGAAUAUGACCUCGCUGUCGCUAGACAGGAAGCUGGUCUUGGAAGACGGGCUGCUGAGGAAAGAUUAGCUGAGGCACAUAGGAUCCAAGAAAAACUCUGUGGUAAGACUUUCUAUUUUUUCCUGUGUUUAGGAUU
rnacentral:lncRNA from 1 species